rnacentral:rRNA from 1 species
CCUACGGGGGGCUGCAGUGGGGAAUAUUGGACAAUGGGGGGAACCCUGAUCCAGCCAUGCCGCGUGUGUGAAGAAGGCCCUCGGGUUGUAAAGCACUUUCAGUGAGGAAGAACGCCUGGUGGUUAAUACCCAUCAGGAAAGACAUCACUCACAGAAGAAGCACCGGCUAACUCCGUGCCAGCAGCCGCGGUAAUACGGAGGGUGCGAGCGUUAAUCGGAAUUACUGGGCGUAAAGCGCGCGUAGGUGGCUUGAUAAGCCGGUUGUGAAAGCCCCGGGCUCAACCUGGGAACGGCAUCCGGAACUGUCAAGCUAGAGUGUAGGAGAGGAAGGUAGAAUUCCCGGUGUAGCGGUGAAAUGCGUAGAGAUCGGGAGGAAUACCAGUGGCGAAGGCGGCCUUCUGGACUGACACUGACACUGAGGUGCGAAAGCGUGGGUAGCAAACAGGAUUAGAUACCCUUGUAGUC